UACGUAGGUGGCAAGCGUUGUCCGGAAUUAUUGGGCGUAAAGAGCGUGUAGGCGGCCAUACAGGUCCGUUGUGAAAACUGGAGGCUUAACCUCCAGACGUCGAUGGAAACCGUAUGGCUAGAGUCCGGAAGAGGAGAGUGGAAUUCCUGGUGUAGCGGUGAAAUGCGCAGAUAUCAGGAAGAACACCCGUGGCGAAGGCGGCUCUCUGGGACGGUACUGACGCUGAGACGCGAAAGCGUGGGGAGCGAACAGG
rnacentral:rRNA from 1 species